GGGCGGACGGGGGACGGCCCGAGUGAGGCGUCCUCCGAAGGCUGCGGGCCCGAAGCCAGAACUCCUUCCUCUCCGAAGACCUCGGGGGUGGGGCUCGCGCUUCCGCAGCGGGCCUAGAGCGAGAGGCAGGCGGCAGGUCAAGAGACUGCUCUCCUCCCCAAGCUAGGGGAACCUUCUGGGACUCCAUCAACUGACAAUGAGGGGAUAAUGGUCCCUCACUGCCCCAUCAGGAAAGGCUCAUGGGUGAUUGGGACCUUUGCUUGAAACCCAACUUACUGGCCAGGAACCUCAAGUUCUGGGACCAGGCGCCUUCCUCCCUCCCACUGUGCCAGAGGAGGGGAGACAAAAUCCCUCAAUGGCUGUCUAGCUCCAGGCAGAUCAGCUGCCACGGGGACUGCUGAGCAGGGAGAGGCUGUCGAUGCUGAGGCACGAGAGAAUUUGCUCCUGCUCCUCCAGAGAAAAUGGCUGGGACAGGCUGUUGAGGAAUAAUUCUGCAGGGAAAAGUGGAAGAUGGCUGUGAAAGACUGGGAGGAGGCUGGCUGUGUUUUCAGGGGUUCUUCCUGCACAGUCGGUAGAAGCUGAGCUGCUGGGGAAGGGGCUGGAAGAAAGCCCACACCGCAGGUAUCAGUAGCAAAUUCAAAAACUACAGAAUCAGCUCCAGAGGACUUUGUUAACAAGAAAGAGAAGAUUGAAAACAGCCCUGGGGCUACACCAACUCAAGAGCUCCCAGGCAAAGUGGCAUCCUGGACCCACCAUCUCUCCUACCCCAUCCUCAGUCGGUACUUCCCCAGGCACCGUUUGUUCUGGCAUGGGGCUAGUUCAGCCCUGGGACCACCCUCAUCCUUAUAACUACCAGCUGUCUUUGGUGAGGUGCAA
rnacentral:lncRNA from 1 species